rnacentral:rRNA from 1 species
CCCCUGGACAAAGACUGACGCUCAGGUGCGAAAGCGUGGGGAGCAAACAGGAUUAGAUACCCUGGUAGUCCACGCCGUAAACGAUGUCGAUUUGGAGGUUGUGCCCUUGAGGCGUGGCUUCCGGAGCUAACGCGUUAAAUCGACCGCCUGGGGAGUACGGCCGCAAGGUUAAAACUCAAAUGAAUUGACGGGGGCCCGCACAAGCGGUGGAGCAUGUGGUUUAAUUCGAUGCAACGCGAAGAACCUUACCUGGUCUUGACAUCCACAGAACUUUCCAGAGAUGGAUUGGUGCCUUCGGGAACUGUGAGACAGGUGCUGCAUGGCUGUCGUCAGCUCGUGUUGUGAAAUGUUGGGUUAAGUCCCGCAACGAGCGCAACCCUUAUCCUUUGUUGCCAGCGGUUCGGCCGGGAACUCAAAGGAGACUGCCAGUGAUAAACUGGAGGAAGGUGGGGAUGACGUCAAGUCAUCAUGGCCUUACGACCAGGCUACACACGUGCUACAAUGGCAUAUACAAAGAGAAGCGACCUCGCGAGAGCAAGCGGACCUCAUAAAGUAUGUCGUAGUCCGGAUUGGAGUCUGCAACUCGACUCCAUGAAGUCGGAAUCG